rnacentral:rRNA from 1 species
ACGCGUGGGGAACCUGCCCUAUACAGGGGGAGUAACAGCUGGAAACGGCUGCUAAUACCGCAUAAGCGCACAGAAUCGCAUGAUUCAGUGUGAAAAGCCCUGGCAGUAUAGGAUGGUCCCGCGUCUGAUUAGCUGGUUGGUGAGGUAACGGCUCACCAAGGCGACGAUCAGUAGCCGGCUUGAGAGAGUGAACGGCCACAUUGGGACUGAGACACGGCCCAAACUCCUACGGGAGGCAGCAUG